CGUAGGUGAACCUGCGGAAGGAUCAUCG
rnacentral:rRNA from 2 species